GAUCAUUACAAGUGAGGCUACCGAACGUUGGAAACAGCGGUUAGGAGCUUACACCCACCCGUGUUUACAUACUAUUGUUGCUUUGGCGGGCCGUGGCCUCCACUGCGGGCUCUGCUCGUGUGUGCCCGCCAGAGAACCAAACUCUGAAUGUUAGUGAUGUCUGAGUACUAUCUAAUAGUUAAAACUUUCAACAACGGAUCUCUUGGUUCUGGCAUCGAUGAAGAACGCAGCGAAAUGCGAUAAGUAAUGUGAAUUGCAGAAUUCAGUGAAUCAUCGAAUCUUUGAACGCACAUUGCGCCCUGUGGUAUUCCGCAGGGCAUGCCUGUUCGAGCGUCAUUUAACCACUCACGCCUAGCGUGGUAUUGGGGCACGCGGUCUCCGCGGCCCUCAAAAUGAGUGGCGGCGCCGGUGGGCUCUAAGCGUAGUACAUACUCCCGCUAUAGAGUUCCCCCGGUGGCUCGCCAGAACCCCCAAUUUUUACAGGUUGACCUCGGAUCAGGUAGGGAUACCCGCUGAACUUAAGCAUAUCAA
rnacentral:rRNA from 1 species